CUUUAAAACUCCCACAGAUUUUCGUGGCUGUCAGACAGCAAACAAGGCGAGGGAUAAAACAUAACUAUGAAUUGGAUGCUGUGGCAACAAUGCAUUGUCUCCAUAAACCUCUGCCCUAUUUAAUCUUUGGUGUUCUCUUUGGAUAUGUUAUCCCACUCUCUUCCCUUCUCCAAGUUUCUCCAGUGACUUGUGGGGGCAAGAACAUCUCUUCAUGUUGUGGACACUGUGUCACAUCCCAAGAGGGAGUCAGUGAAUUAGAUUGCUUUGGUAAACAUCUGAGCUUAAGUAUGAUCAGCUGGAAAUGUGUGUGGACACCUAUAAAACACCAAACACAAAGAUACACACUCUGUAUAGAACAGAAAACACAUUGCAAAAUACAUGAAAACAUAUCGGAGACGUCUCAGACUAUUGUUCUGUCCAAAAAGUUCAACAUGACAGCUCAUGUAUUUGACAAGAGUGACUUGAAGAGCUGCACAAAGACUGUUUUCAGAGGUUCACCUCAACAAUUGGUUCGAUGCGGCCCCCCAUCUAAUGUACACUUGAAUCGACAUUCAAGACAGCUGGAUAUCCAGGCCUCCUGGAGGAAGGAGGAGACCAAAUAUAUCCCUCUUUACUCUGUGAGAUACAAGGAGCUGAACAGCCCGCAAUGGAAAGAGCCACCAGUGCAAUCCAAGGAUAGAAAUAGGUGCACUGUGGGUAAUCUUAACUCCUCACUGUCCUAUGAGGUGCAGAUAGAGUGUGUGGCCAACAACAAAUGUACCCAGUGCCCCUGGAGCGAAGUUUUCACAGUCCCACCCGUUUGCAGCCAGUGAGUUAGCGGAGGGCUACAGUGUUUCCGUGGGGAAAGCCUCAGGAGAGGACCCUAUUGAGACCUUCAACACCAGCAGGCAGCUACUCAUAGUGACCCUGUCUCACUCAGCCUACCACCUCAAAAUCACAGCUCUCAACGGGGCUGGGACCUCACCUGCAGCACAGUGCACUAUAUGGCCACUGGACGACAAAGACUUAUAUGGGAAGCUGAAUCUGACAUUCAAUGGCAACACAUCCUUUACUGUCUCCUGGGUAGAUGACCUGAUCAAAACCUACUCCUGCUUCUCAGUGGAGUGGUGGACGAGAGGAAUCAAAGCUGCUCACAAGUCCUUCUAUGAGGAUGAGAACAAUUAUGAAGUCAUACCAUUGCGCGAGCCAUUAGAGCUGUAUAAGAGGUAUACCUUCACUCUGCACACGAGGCCAGACAAAGAGACCUGCAACCUGAAGUUCAUCAACAACAGCGAGAGCACCUACGGGAGCAUCCAGUCCUACUUCACUGAAGGAUCCCCAAUUAGUGCCCCAGGGAACAUCAGCAGCAGUAAUGUUACCCAGAGCUCCAUGGUGCUGGAGUGGACAUCAGUCCCUGAGAAGGACACCAGAGGUUUCCUGCUGGGCUACAUCCUCCACUACACAAAGAGCCCGGAUGACAGGAUAGACGUUGAAAAAAACGUCACUGUGGAUGCUGGUUCAACCAGCUACGAGUUGGUGGACCUACAAAGCAAUACUGUGUACCAAGUCCAGCUGUCUGCCUUCACUGCUGCAGGAAUGGGAGUGAGAAGCUCAGCUGUAUACUUCGAAACCAAGUCAACAGGUUUGCGUGUUGAUCUUUCAUCAAUGGUUGUAUUGUAAUCUCUGAUAUCCCACAUUUGGAAUGCCAUUUUGUAUUAAUUUAAAGGACCUGUGCUGCCUGCUUUCCCUCCCCAGUAUCCCAGUCUAUUGGUGGUAUGAUAGCAGGGGUCGUUAUUGGAGCAACUUUACUCUUACUUGUGGUUAAUCUCGGCUCUUUGUUGUUAAAAAGAGCAAAGAGACUACUUUGGCCAAGUAUCCCUAAUCCUGGUAACAGCAAUGCCAUCCAGAAAAUAGAUGGGGUCUGCGAGCUGGAACUCCUGGAGCCCAUCAACAAACAGAAGUUAGAGGAAGAGGGGGACGCCAACAGUCUGCACAUUGUUGACAGUAGAGAAGAAAAGUCUCCCUUUAGCAACCUCCAUAGCAACACCGACUCAUGUCUACACCUCAACACAGAACACGAGGAGAAUCAAGGGCCUUCAAAGACAACCGCAGACUCUACCGAGCCCACUAAAGUAGACCCUCAAAUCAACGUGGGCUUGUGCCGAAGAAACACAGCCACAGACAGUAGCGCUCAAGAUCCCACUUCUGACACCAUUAAACCUACCAUAGACACAAGACAGACAGACCCUGUCCCCAUUAGUGCGGUGGCCCACCAGUGCCCGCAGUUGUCCUUUAUGAGUGAUUACACGACCAUGGAACUCUUCCAACAGGCUAUGACACAAUGUGUUCCAGCCACUAUAACAUUGGAACCUCAUGGCCAGUCAAGCCAGUCAGAGUACACAGACUCACCCCUGACCAGACCAGAGUCAGAUUACAUACACCAGUCCCUCUAUGAUACUGUCCUUCACCUGUCCCAAGGCAGCACAAGUCCAACUGAGGUGUAUUACACGGUUCUUUGAGAACGUUUACUGUAGAUUCUAGAAUCUGCCUUUCUCACAGAUGUGGUGGAACAAUUCUCAGGCCUUUCAUCUAUGUAAAAAAGCCAGCUGCUGCCAUCAGUGUCACCCUGUUGACUAGCCUACUUAUAUUUCUGGACAUAUUGGAUCGUCAUAACUCUGGAAUGAGAAACCUUUCAAUGACAUACAGGAACUUUAAAAGGCUGUUAUCCUAUCAAUACGUGUAUUGAGGGAUUGUUUGAGGAGCAGAAAUUUCCCAAUUGUUUUUUUGUGGUUUUUAAUAAAAUCAUGAAUCAGAGACCA